rnacentral:lncRNA from 1 species
GUCAAUCGAGUUAAAAAUAUUAGUUUGCUUAGAUUGGCCGCUGCGUGAAUUUAACAAAAUUGGGUUUAAUUUGCAUGUGACUUGCCAACGACGCAGGAUGGGCGCGAGGGUAUUAUCAUGGGUGGGACCCGAAAUCGUCAGACCACAGGUGCAAUUAGCGGCGGGAAAAAGGAAAAGCAGAAACAGAUGGAUGAGUUUUUGAGUAACGAACGUACAUCUGAAGUGAAAAACUAAAGUCCAAACCCAAAGAUGUGUUCAUAAAUCAUGUGUGUUGCUUCCGUUUUUAGUUUCUACUCUCCCUUCCUUGAAUCACGGACGUUGCCAAAUUCUCGUGGGAAAUUAAAGUGAACAAGGAAGGAAGGAUGUUUACUUUCUAAUUUUCUUUUCUUUAAGGUGUUGAAUGUAAAUAUCACAAAUUUGCGUCUUCCACGGGGCUUCGGAAAGGACGGACAGUCAGCGUCACUUUCCGUAUCGACGGCCGCUCCAAUGCAGAGUCAUCUACAUCGUGUCAUUUUGCUUACGUGGCGUGUAUUUAUUGGUGAUUCAGAAAACGUGUCGUCUUAUUAUUAGUGCAUUUGAAUUUCAAACGUUUUGCUGUAUUAUUUAUUGUCC